rnacentral:tRNA from 1 species
GGCAGAGUAGAGCAGUUGGUAGCUCGCAUGGCUCAUACCCAUGAGGUCGUAGGUUCAAAUCCUAUCUCUGCAA